rnacentral:tRNA from 1 species
UGGGGGGUGGUCUAGCGGCAAGACGCAGGUUUUUGGUGCCUUGCGACCCCGGUUCGAAUCCGGGCCCCCCAG